AGUUCUGUGGUGAAAUUCAUGUUGAGUUGCAAACUCAUUGAUGUGCAUUGCAGUGCACCAGGACUU
rnacentral:tRNA from 1 species